GAUGAAGAACGUAGCGAAAUGCGAUAAGUAGUGUGAAUUGCAGAAUUCAGUGAAUCAUCGAAUCUUUGAACGCACAUUGCGCCCUUUGGUAUUCCAAAGGGCAUGCCUGUUCGAGCGUCAUUUGUACCCUCAAGCUUUGCUUGGUGUUGGGCGUCUUGUCUCCAGUUCGCUGGAGACUCGCCUUAAAGUAAUUGGCAGCCGACCUACUGGUUUCGGAGCGCAGCACAAGUCGCGCUCUCUUCCAGCCAAGGUCAGCAUCCACAAAGCCUUUUUUCAACUUUUGACCUCGGAUCAGGUAGGGAUACCCGCUGAACUUAAGCAUAUCAAUAAGCGGAGGA
rnacentral:misc_RNA from 1 species